UCGAGGGGCAGCACGAUGUAGCAAUACAUUGGUGGCGACCGGCGCACGGGUGAGUAACGCGUAUGCAACCUACCUAUCAGAGGGGAAUAACCCGGCGAAAGUCGGACUAAUACCGCAUAAAACAGGGGUUCCACAUGGAAAUAUUUGUUAAAGAAUUAUCGCUGAUAGAUGGGCAUGCGUUCCAUUAGAUAGUUGGUGAGGUAACGGCUCACCAAGUCCACGAUGGAUAGGGGUUCUGAGAGGAAGGUCCCCCACACUGGUACUGAGACACGGACCAGACUCCUACGGGAGGCAGCAGUGAGGAAUAUUGGUCAAUGGGCGAGAGCCUGAACCAGCCAAGUCGCGUGAAGGAUGAAGGAUCUAUGGUUUGUAAACUUCUUUUAUAUGGGAAUAAAGUGAGGAACGUGUUCCUUUUUGUAUGUACCAUAUGAAUAAGCAUCGGCUAACUCCGUGCCAGCAGCCGCGGUAAUACGGAGGAUGCGAGCGUUAUCCGGAUUUAUUGGGUUUAAAGGGUGCGUAGGUGGUUAAUUAAGUCAGCGGUGAAAGUUUGUGGCUCAACCAUAAAAUUGCCGUUGAAACUGGUUGACUUGAGUAUAUUUGAGGUAGGCGGAAUGCUUGGUGUAGCGGUGAAAUGCAUAGAUAUCACGCAUAACUCCGAUUGCGAAGGCAGCUUACUAAA
rnacentral:rRNA from 1 species